GGGCCGGUGGUGUAAUGGGAACACAUCCUUCCAAAGUAAACUUGGAGCUUGUAUACUUCAGAGGAAAUGCCCUGUUCGAUCCGGGGCCGGGCCA